GUCUUGGUAAAACAAUCUCAGUGCAAAAUUAUUUUUGAAUGUAGCAUAUUUAGAUUACAAUGUCACCAGCAAAAGCACCAGGAAUACUUUUUACCAUCAUUGAAUUUUAUUGAAUCAGGUUUUAUAUUUCACUGACUCGUUAUUGUCCAGUUAAAACUAAUGUAUACUCUUGAAAGACUUUUCGAUCACGAAGCCGAACUCCGAAUUGAAAUUGUUCUCCCUAUAGCACACAUCUUAUCCUCCUUUUUUUCUACGAACAGCAGCUGACGAUGAAUCUGUUUAAACUUGCUCUCGUUGUUGGUCUUGUGGUUGCACUUCUUGUCCCUAGCUACUGAUGGAUGGGGCUGGAGAAGGAGAAGGAGGCGAAUUUGGAGGAGACCAAUUAGGUGCACGAGAAAAUGUAUCAAAAUUGGAUGCCGUACCGAAUGUCCCGUGGCAAAUCUCAAUAGAGCAGACUGCAGACUUCGAAAGCUUCUUAGAAUAGUAUGCGAUAAGCGAUGCUUUCGUGUAUGCUUCGGGAAGCGAGAUGAAAACACAAAGGAAGCCCUCGCCCAGCCCGCAGUGACAAGGAAACAUCAGUAUAAAGAUGGAGCUAAAUAAUGGCAGCAUUGCAAGCACUUGUAGUAAUUUUGACAAUCGAUCUAAUUUAAAGAUUAAGACAAUUAAAAUUGUACGGGUUGGUGAAGAAUAUUGGUAAUGGGAUUAAAUGAAAUAGAAAUUA